rnacentral:rRNA from 1 species
AGUGAACGCUGGCGGCGUGCCUAAUACAUGCAAGUCGAACGAAGUGGCGCACGGGUGAGUAAUAUAUAGUUAAUCUGCCCUACACAGAGGAACAACAGUUGGAAACGACUGCUAAUACCUCAUAGUGUUGGAUGAGACUAUAUCGUAUCAGCUAGUUGGUAAGGUAAUGGCUUACCAAGGCUAUGACGCGUAACUGGUUUGAGAGGAUGAUCAGUCAAAUUGGAACUGAGACACGGUCCAAACUCCUACGGGAGGCAGCAGUAAGGGAUAUUGCGCAAUGGGGGAAAACCUGACGCAGUAACGCGGCGUGGAGUAUGAUACUUGUCGGAGCGGAAACUCCUUUUAUCAGGAAAGCGGUACCUGAUGAAGAAGCACCGGCUAACUCCGUGCCAGCAGCCGCGGUAAUAC